rnacentral:rRNA from 1 species
AACGGCCGCGGUACCCUGACCGUGCGAAGGUAGCAUAAUAACUUGUUCUUUAAAUGGGGACUAGCAUGAACGGCAUCACGAGGGUCUCACUGUCUCCUUUUUCUAAUCAGUGAAACUGAUCUCCCCGUGAAGAAGCGGGGAUAAAAAUAUAAGACGAGAAGACCCCAUGGAGCUUUAAACCCAAUAGACACCUCUGACUAAUCCAACCCAAAACACUUCUUAAGUUCUGUCUAUUGGUUUUAGGUUGGGGUGACCACGGAGUACAAUAAAUCCUCCAUGACGUACGGGACUUCCCUCUUAUCCUUGAACCACAUUUCUAAGAAUCAACAAAUUGACGUUUGAUGAUCCAAUAUAUUGAUCAACGGACCAAGUUAUCCUGGGGAUAACAGCGCAAUC